rnacentral:rRNA from 1 species
GACGAACGCUGGCGGCGUGCUUAACACAUGCAAGUCGAACGGAAAGGCCCUGCUUUUGGGUACUCGUCGAGCGACGGGCGGGUGAGUAACAGGUUAGCAACCUCUUCUUUUUUUUGGAAUAACAUCAGAAAGCGGCUACUAAUAGCUAAUAGCACCUGCUGCUGGGUGGGGGGGGGUGAAAUUUUUCGGUUGUGGGUGAUGGACACGCGGCUUAUCAGCUUGUUGGUGGGGUAGUGGCUUACCAAGGCUUUGACGGGUAGCCGGCCUGAGAGGGUGACCGGCCACAUUGGGACUGAGAUACGGCCCAGACUCCUACGGGAGGCAGCAGUGGGGAAUAUUGCACAAUGGGCGGAAGCCUAAUGCAGCAACGCCGCGUGCGGGAUGACGGCCUUCGGGUUGUAAACCGCUUUCGCCUGUGACGAAGCGUGAGUGACGGUAAUGGGUAAAGAAGCACCGGCUAACUACGUG